rnacentral:lncRNA from 1 species
CUUGUAUUAUAAAAGGUUGUUGAGUUUAAAUGAUAUGAUUCCUCAAUAAGCUCAAAAUAUCUUUUUCUCAUUCAGUGUGUAAGGUCAGUGAAUCUCAUUCACACAAAAAACAACUCUUAAUUUGUCUAUGGCUUGGAAUCAUUGGUAAAAUGGAAUUUAAUCUUUUUUUAUGUGCAAGCAAUAAAAUAUUGCUGCUAGAUAUAUA